rnacentral:rRNA from 1 species
CAGGGAGGUAGUGACAAGAAAUAACAAUACGGGGCUUAAUGUCUUGUAAUUGGAAUGAUGGGAAUUUAAACCUCUUCCAGAGUAUCAAUUGGAGGGCAAGUCUGGUGCCAGCAGCCGCGGUAAUUCCAGCUCCAAUAGCGUAUAUUAAAAUUGUUGCAGUUGAAAAGCUCGUAGUUGAAUUUCUGCUGCAUCGUCGCAUCUCUUGCUGAGUGCUUCAUUGCGGCUUAUUUCGGAUUGAUUUUUUCUUUCCGGAUGAUUACUUUGAGAAAAUUAGAGUGCUCAAAGCAGGCUUUUGCCUUGAAUAGUUUAGCAUGGAAUAAUAAAGUAGGACUUUGGUUCUAUUUUGGUGGUUUUAGGUACCAAAGUAAUGGUUAAUAGGAACAGUUGGGGGUAUUCGUAUUUAACUGUCAGAGGUGAAAUUCUUAGAUUUGUUAAAGACGAACUACUGCGAAAGCAUUUGCCAAGGAUGUUUUCAUUAAUCAAGAACGAAAGUUAGGGGAUCGAAGACGAUCAGAUACCGUCGUAGUCCUAACCGUAAACUAUGCCGACUAGAGAUUGGAGGUCGUCAGUUUUUACGACUCCUUCAGCACCUUGAGAGAAAUCAAAGUCUUUG